AUUUCUUUUUCUAAAAAAAGAAUUUUCCUCUAAGUUCCCCUUUUUAAAUGAGCUUUUUAGCCUGGAUAAUUAUGCAGUGCUAGAACCUUAACUGCAUGAUCAAACCCAACCUUGCUUGUUUAUAACAGCAUUUGACAGCCUCGUGACUCUCACAUAGGGAAAAAGUCUCGCCUGAAAACCCAUGCUAAGCUGCAUGUCUUGAGCUGUGCCAAUUUGUAUUCCAGGCAGCCUAAGGUUCCCAUCGUGAGUUUCAGGAAGGGAAAUUCAUGGAGGAAGUUCACCUCUGGAAGGGUUGUAGAUGAGCAUGAGAGUGUGGAGCAGAGUCGGCGAGCGCAAGUCGAGCCCAUCAACCUGGACAGCUGUCUCCGUGCUUUCACCGGUGAGGAAGAGCUAGGGGAAGAUGAGAUGUACUACUGUUCCAAGUGUAAGACCCACUGCUUAGCAACAAAGAAGCUGGAUCUCUGGAGGCUUCCACCCUUCCUGAUUAUUCACCUUAAGUGAUUUCAGUUUGUAAAUGAUCAGUGGAUAAAAUCACAGAAAAUUGUCAAAUUUCCUCGGGAAAGUUUUGACCUGAGUGCUUUUUUGGUACCACGAGACCCGGCUCUCUGCCAGCAUCAACCACUCACACCCCAGGGGGAUGAGCUCUCCAAGCCCAGGAUUCUGGCAAGAGAGGUGAAGAAAGUGGAUGUGCAGAGUUUGGCUGGGGAAUAGGACAUGCUCCUGAGCAAAAGCCCAUCCUCACUCAGCGCUAACAUCAGCAGCAGCCCAAAAGAGAUGGUGCUUCGCCAUGUUUCCCAGGCUGGGCUCGAACUCCUGCACCCAAGUGAACCUCCUGCUUCGGCCUCCUAAACUGCUGGGAUUACAGGUUCUCCUUCUUCAUCAAGAAAAAGUGGAACCAGCUGUCCCUCCAGCAAAAACAGCAGCCCUAAUAGCAGCCCACGGACUUUGGGGAGGAGCAAAGGGAGGCUCUGGCUGCCCCAGAUUGGCAGCAAAAAUAAACUGUCAAGUAGUAAGAAGAACUUGGAUGCCAGCAAAGAGAAUGGGGCUGGGCAGAUCUGUGAGCUGGCUGACGCCUUGAGCCGAGGGCAUAUGCGGGGGGUGGGCAGCCAACCAGAGCUGGUCACUCCUCAGGACCAUGAGGUAGCUUUGGCCAAUGGAUUCCUUUAUGAGCAUGAAGCAUAUGGCAAUGGCUAUAGCAAUGGUCAGCUUGGAAACCACAGUGAAGAAGACAGCACUGAUGACCAAAGAGAAGACACUCAUAUUAAGCCUAUUUAUAUGCAAUUUCAGUAAGUGGUUUAUUGUAUGGUUUUCGGAGAGUGGUCUGUGUUUUGUUCACUUGUCUUCAUGUAUUCAUCAGCAAGUAUUUUUCAGGUCCUGCUUAUUUCCUAGCAUUGAGCUUAGUGAUAGAGAAAGUUAACAUAGAAAUCUGGGCCUGCCCAGGUGUGGUGGCUCACACCUGUAAUCCCAGCACUUUAGAAGGCUGAGGCAGAAGGAUCGCUUGAGCCCAGGAGUUUGAGACCAGCCUGGGCCCCAUCUCUACAAAUAAUUUUAAAAUGGAGCGAGGUAUGGUGGCAUUGCCUGUGGUCCCAGCUACUUGGAAGGCUGAGGCAGAAGGAUCACCUGAGCCCAGGAGGCCAAGUCUUUAGAGAGUUGUGAUCACUCGACUGCACCCCAGCCUGGGUGAUAGAGCAAGCCCCUGUCUCAAAAUAAUAAUAAUAAUAGUAAUUACAUUAUAAAAUGAUUGUUUAUCCACACAAGACUUGGAGCUUAUGACUUUUGUAUUUUGCUUUUUGCUUAUUUUGGUUUUAGAGAAAGUUAGAGGGUUCUAAAAUAUUUUCUCACCUACUGAUCAUUUACAUGAUCACUGUUCUCCUGCUCAGAUCCUAGUGCUAUACCCUGGCCAUAGUACAGUUAACUACUAACAUACAUCCACUCUCUUAUCUCUUACAGUGCCAUUCAGGAAUUCUGAGUGGGGGCCAUUACGUCACUUAUGCCAAAAACCCAAACUGCAAGUGGUACUGCUACAAUGGCAGCAUCUGUGAGGUAAACAUUCUCAAUCUUUGAAUGAAAGUUAGAAACAAUCAACAGAACUGGGGAACAUUUUUUGAAAUAAUGGACUAUCUCUUGAAUAGGAAAUAGAUAUUUCUGUUAGAAUCAAUAUAUAGAUGCUGUCAGUAUUAAAGAAACAAAAGUGAUAUGCAGAAUAGGGAAUGAAAACAUGAGUAGCGAGGAAAAAUAAAGAGUUAGUUGACCGGGCGCAGUGGCUCAUGCCUGUAAUCCCAGCACUUUGGGAGGCUGAGGCAGGCUUAGGAGGUGGAUCACUUGAUGUCAGGAGUUCAAGACCAGACUGGCCAACAUGGUGAAACCCCAUCUCUGCUAAAAAUACAAAAAUUAGUUGGGCAUGUUGGCACAUGCCUGUAAUCCCAGCUACUCAGGAGGCUGAGGCAGGAGAAUGGCUUGAACCUGGGAGGUGGAGGUUGCAGUGAGCCAAGACUGCACCGCUGCACUCCAGCCUGGGCAACAGAGCAAGACUCUGUCUCAAAAAAAAAAAAAAAAAA
rnacentral:lncRNA from 1 species